rnacentral:rRNA from 1 species
GCGCACGGGUGAGUAACACGUGAAUGACAUGCCCUUGAUGGGGGAUAGCCCAGGGAAACUUGGAUUAAUACCCCAUGGUAUCGCGAGAUUAAAGGUGGCCGCAAGGCUGUCGCUCAAGGAUUGGUUCGCGCCCUAUCAGCUUGUUGGCGAGGUAACGGCUCACCAAGGCUACGACGGGUACCUGGUUUGAGAGGACGAUCAGGCACACUGGAACUGAGACACGGUCCAG